CUUAAUAAUGCUAAAAAUAUUGUUGCAGACCUCUCUCUAAUUUGCUCAAAACAAGAAUGCUGUUAGAAAAGAAUGAGGCUAAAAAAAACAGCUUUUGAGAGGUAUCACUACCAUGUAGUUACCUUCCCCCUACUGUCACAAUUGUAAUUUAUUAACCAUUUGUAGUACAUCAUAAAACUUGCAUAUCCCAACACCCUGUUGAAUUGCUUGAAAUCCUGUUUAUUCUUGC